GGAUCCUGGAUUGUGUCCCCGGCGCCCUGUGCUCCCGGGCCUGUGCUGUUGGAUUCGUGCUCCUGGCCGGGCAGCUCCCUCUCCGCAGAGCC
rnacentral:pre_miRNA from 1 species